UUACUCCUACGGGAGGCAGCAGUGGGGAAUAUUGCACAAUGGGCGCAAGCCUGAUGCAGCCAUGCCGCGUGUGUGAAGAAGGCCUUCGGGUUGUAAAGCACUUUCAGCGGGGAGGAAGGCGAUAAGGUUAAUAACCUUGUCGAUUGACGUUACCCGCAGAAGAAGCACCGGCUAACUCCGUGCCAGCAGCCGCGGUAAUAA
rnacentral:rRNA from 1 species